GACCAUGCAGUGUUUGGUUUUCUGUUUCUAUGUUACUUUGCUGAGACUGAUGGCUUCUAGCUUCAUCCAUGUCCCUGCAAAGGACGUGAACUCAUUCUUUUUUAUGGCUGCAUAGUAUUCCAUGGUGUAUAUGUGCCACAUUUUCUUUAUCCAGUCUAUCAUUAAUGGGCAUUUGGGUUGGUUCCAAGUCUGUGCUAUUGUAAAUAGGGCUGCAAUAAAUGUACCUGUGCUUGUAUCUUUAUAGUAGAAUGAUUUACAAUCUUUUGGGUAUUUACCCAGUAAUGGGAUUGCUGGGUCAAAUGGUAAUUCUUGUUCAAGAUCCUUGAGGAAUCACCACACUGUCUUCCACAACGGUUGAACUAAUCUACACUGCCAGCAACAGUGUAAAAGUGUUCCUGUUUCUCCACAGCCUCGCCAGCAUCUGUUUCCUGACUGUUUAAUAAUUGCCAUUCUAACUGGCAUGAGAUGGCAUCUCAUUGUGGUUUUGAUUUGCAUUUCUCUAAUGACUAGUGAUGAUGAGCGUUUUUCCAUAUGUUUUUGGCCACAUAAAUGUCUUCUUUUGAGAAGUGUCUGUUCAUAUCCUUUGCCAAGGCUGGAGACAUCAUGCUACCUAACUUCAAACUAUACUACAAAGCUACAGUAACCAAAACAGCAUGGUACUAGUACCAAAACAGAUAUAUAGGCCAAAAAUAGAAUGUUCUCUAUAGGUGAUUGAGUAGGAGGGGAAAGGGGAGAGAAUGAGAAUUUUCCUGUAAACCUUUGUAUAGUUUUUUAUUUUUGUAUAGUUUUGUAUAGUUUUUUAUUUUUAACCAAGUAAAUGUAUUACUUUACUUUUUAAAAGCACUAUUUUGUCGUGUACUAUGCUGGAUGAAUUUUAAUUGAGCCACCUACAUUCCUUUUAGUUGGGAUUUCUGAUGUGAAUCAUAAAUUAACAAGGUAAAAAAAUAACCAAGAUAUUACUUUAUUCCAAGAUGCCCUUUUUCUAAUAAAUAUUUAUUAACAUAGUUUUAAAAAUUAUAGAAUGCUGGACCUUUUCAACACCUUAUCUAAAAAUGGCAUUCUCUUAAAAUCAUCUUAAAUCUCUUAAAAUCUCAAAACUAUGCAUAUAUAAAACUUAGCUUCCUGUAUUCAUUCCUGAGAAAUGAAAACAUUUUAUUACAGCAUUUAUAUUAUUUUUUUACAGCCUCGUGAAUUUCUCCAGCAAAAUGCAUAAUGUUAUUUUUUUCUUUACUACGUAUGUAGACAUCACAAGGGGGUAAAUUGUUAUUAAGAGCAAAAUUUACCACAUGUAAUGAGCACCUGCUAGGACUGUGGGUCAGUGUUUCUGAUGAGACAUUGAGCAGCUACUUAUUAUAAUUAGCGUCAUUAGGCCUUUUAACUGCUGCUCCCAUAAGAAGAAAGACAUUUUCUUAACCUACUUUGUAAGUAUUUAUAAUGCCUGCUGAUUUUCAGCUGUGAAGGCAUCAGUCAUUAUAUUCACAGGUUUUUAUGGACAAAAAGGCUGAAUGAGGUUUUCUACUAACAUAAUUUUCCAUUUGAUUAUAUCAUUCUACACCUAGUGCAUACAGAGAAUUUGAAUUCAUUCAGUUGAAAAUGCCUCCCUGAAGGUCCUAUGCAAGUUUUGUGAGCCAUCUAGGUGCCUACAUUUUUAUAUCCAGAUAGAAAAUAAACGGAAGCAAUGAGAAAUAGUGUGAAAGCCGUGAAAGGCAAUGGCUGCUCCUAAGUGUUAAAUAAAUAGCCAGCAGUAUUUUACAUGUACGUAGUACUUGGCUCUCUAGUUGCUUAACUUUUAUUAAAUCCAUUUGUUUAAUUCCCUGAGGCAUUACUGUUCCUAAUAUUUGCCUCAUUAUAAAUUUUAGAAGCCUAGAGGUUAAACAGUAUGUUCAAGAUCACACAGUAUACUAGUGGUAAAACCAGGAGUAAACCCAGGUAGUUUGGGUCCAGAAUCUAUAAUCAUUACUCUAUAGAAUUAUUAAGUAAUUCAUGGAAUAUGUACUACACUGAUUGAAUAUAUGAAUAAAUGAAUGAAGGUAUGAUGAAAUCAAUAUGCCAAUAACAGUUUAAGUCAGUGGAAUGAAUAAUACUACAAAACAAAAUCUAUUCCAAAUCUUUAAUAUAAUUUUGGAGAUUAUGUGUUCUUACCUUCAUAAUUAGACCAUUGGCUCCUUUCUAUUUAUAACUAUAAUGAUUCUAUAUUCUGUAGAUGAAUAUAAAAUGCAUUUUGU
rnacentral:lncRNA from 1 species